rnacentral:rRNA from 1 species
CCCUUAGAUGUCCGGGGCCGCACGCGCGCUACACUGAAGGAAUCAGCGUGGCUUUCUCCCUGACCCGAAAGGGUUGGGAAACCCGUUGAAUCUCCUUCGUGAUAGGGAUUGGGGCUUGAAAUUGUUCCCCAUGAACGAGGAAUUCCCAGUAAGCGCGAGUCAUAAGCUCGCGUUGAUUACGUCCCUGCCCUUUGUACACACCGCCCGUCGCUACUACCGGUUGAACGGUUUAGUGAGGGCCUCGGAUUGGUCUCGGCCCGCUCUUUACCGGGCGGCGCCGUUGGUCGAGAAGACGCUCGAACUUGAUCGUUUAGAGGAAGUAAAAGUCGUAACA